GCCUCAUGACUUGUGUUUACCUGUUAAUUUGUGCAAAUGAAGAAAAUAAAUUUGGCGCAAAGAAAUAAAAAAAAAAAUAGGCGCUAAUUAAGUGCAGAUUGGCGCAAAUGGAAAAAGCCGAAGCAAAUAUAAUCUUUUCUCGUAUCAAGAUUUCAAGAUUUUAUUCAUAACCUCAGACACAUACUUGUGUACAAGAGGACAAUAAUAUAUACAACCAUAUUAAGAUAAUACAUAGCGAGACAGGACAAACGAAAC
rnacentral:lncRNA from 1 species